UACGUAGGAGGCAAGCGUUAUCCGGAAUGACUGGGCGUAAAGGGUGCGUAGGUGGUUUGGCAAGUUGGUAGCGUAAUCCCGGGGCUUAACUUCGGUGCUACUACCAAAACUGCUGGGCUUGAGUGCAGGAGGGGUGAAUGGAAUUCCUAGUGUAGCGGUGGAAUGCGUAGAUAUUAGGAAGAACACCAGCGGCGAAGGCGAUUCACUGGACUGUAACUGACACUGAGGCACGAAAGCGUGGGGAGCAAACAGG
rnacentral:rRNA from 1 species